ACAGAGGAAGUUCAAUGGUAGGAUUCUCGUCUUCCACGCGAGAGACCCGGGUUCGAUUCCCGGCCAGUGCA
rnacentral:tRNA from 1 species